rnacentral:tRNA from 1 species
GCCUGGCUGGCUUAGUAGGUAAAGCAUGUAACUUUUGAUCUUGAGAUUGUGAGUUUGAGCCUUACACUGGGUG